UUUUCUAUAGAAAUUGCCAAAGAUUAUACUUCACCAAAAAGAAGGUAUAAGUCAGAAAGUCCAGGGGUUCCAGAAAUAGAUCAACUCAGGGGAGCAGUGGAGAGAAGUUCCAGGAUGACAGAUAUGCAGCAGACCUAAGAAACGGAAGGACCAAGAACUCUCGGAGAAAUGUCUUCAGUAAAAAAAUGGUGGUGCAGAGAACUGAAUUCAUUACCCUCCCCAUGACCAUAUCAUGGUACCACAUCAUUGAUGCUGUUGAUACAGCAUUGUGCAAAUAAUUGCAUUGUUAAUUAUCCCUUUUAUGAACAUUCUUCACUCUCAUUCUCUUCCAUGACUGCCAUCA
rnacentral:lncRNA from 10 species